GGGGGAGAUGCUUUUCUGGCGCUACACCACUUGUCGACGGCGGCGUUGAGCGACUUCGCAGCCGGUCCUCCAGCUGUUCUUUCCGUCUCCCCAGAUGUUUUAAGCAGCUUCCCCUGUGCUCCAAGAGAUGUUCGCGCUGCUCGUAAAUCUGCCGUAGUGUUGUAAACUCGUGUUUGAGUUCGUAGAGUUCUUCACGCAUCUGCAAUCUGGCGAGGCUCUCUCGUCGAAUCUUCUGAGCUAGCAUAGAGGGGACACUGUCAGAUUUCACUUUCUUUUCAUCCUUUUGCUGCUGAGCGAGACGUUCGUGCUCUAACCGUUGGAAGCCUAGCACUUCUUGGUGUACUUGUUGUCCUCUCCGGACACUCUCGAUAUCCGUCUGCUGCCUCGUGACUUGACGACGAAUAUCCGUGAUCGCUCGCUCUUGCUUUUCCAGUGCCUCUCCAAUUCUACAAAGAAUUGUAUCCGCGUGCUCAUGCUCCCAAAAGGUUCCUGUAGGCAAUAGCUGAAUUAUUUACAGUCGAUGACGCGCGUUGCCACUUGAAUGCAAGUCCCGGCUACUUAUAGGCAGCAUUUGCUCCAUACAUGUAUGUGCGCUUGCCUGUAAGUGAAUGCUUGUCGGCAAUGGUGGCACUUCCCCC
rnacentral:lncRNA from 1 species